GCACUUCGCUGGGGGUGCUGGCGCCGCGACAAGCGACUGCCGGCUGAGAAAGUCCCUUUGAACCUGAUUGCGGUAAUUCGCACGCAGGGAAGCAGGCUCAGACGGGG
rnacentral:ncRNA from 2 species